GAUCAUGGCUCAGGAUGAACGCUGGCGGCGUGCAUAACACAUUCAAGUCGAACGAGGCAGCAAUGCCUAGUGGCGGACGGGUGAGUAACGCGUGAGAAACCUGCCCUUGCGUGGGGGAUACCAUCUGGAAACGGAUGUUAAUACCGCAUAAAGUACAAGCGACCGCAUGGUCGUAGUACCAAAGAUUUAUUGCGCAAGGAUGGGCUCGCGUCCCAUUAGAUAGUUGGUGAGGUGACGG
rnacentral:rRNA from 1 species